rnacentral:rRNA from 1 species
GACAGAGGGUGCAAACGUUGCUCGGAAUUACUGGGCGUAAAGCGCGUGUAGGUGGACCAACAAGUCGGACGUGAAAUCCCUGAGCUCAACUCAGGAACUGCAUUCGAAACUGUUGGUCUGGAGUGGUGGAGAGGAAAGCAGAAUUCCUGGUGUAGAGGUGAAAUUCGUAGAUAUCAGGAGGAACACCGGUGGCGAAGGCGGCUUUCUGGACACUAACUGACACUGAGACGCGAAAGCGUGGGGAGCAAACAGG